GGAUUGUUCACCCACCAACAGGGAACGUGAGCUGGGAUUAGACCGUCGUGAGACAGGUUAGUUUUACCCUACUGAUGAAUGUCGUCCCAAUGGUAAUACCGCUUAGUACGAGAGGAACCGCGGUUUCAGAUAAUUGGUUUUUGCGGCUGUCCGACCGGGCAGUGCCGCGAAGCUACCAUCUGCUGGAUUAUGGCUGAACGCCUCUAAGUCAGAAUCCAUGCCAGAAAGGGACGAUUUCCCCCUACACAUCGUAGUCGGAUACGAAUAGGCCUUUGGCCCUGAACCUUAGCAGGUUGGCGACCGGCUCCGGGUAGAAGUCCCGGGGUCGAGCUGACGAAUUGCAAUUUCACAAUGCGUAGGGAUAAAUCCUUUGCAGACGACUUAGUUGUGCAACCGGGUCGUGUAAGCAGUCGA
rnacentral:rRNA from 1 species